rnacentral:rRNA from 1 species
GGGUUGUGAGGUUAAGCGACUAAGCGUACACGGUGGAUGCCCUGGCAGUCAGAGGCGAUGAAGGGCGUGCUAAUCUGCGAUAAGCGCCGGUAAGGUGAUAUGAACCGUUAUAACCGGCGAUACCCGAAUGGGGAAACCCAGUGUGAUUCGUCACACUAUCAUUAACUGAAUCCAUAGGUUAAUGAGGCGAACCGGGGGAACUGAAACAUCUAAGUACCCCGAGGAAAAGAAAUCAACCGAGAUUCCCCCAGUAGCGGCGAGCGAACGGGGAGGAGCCCAGAGCCUGAAUCAGCAUGUGUGUUAGUGGAAGCGUCUGGAAAGGCGCGCGAUACAGGGUGACAGCCCCGUACACAAAAGCGCAUGUGUUGUGAGCUCGAUGAGUAGGGCGGGACACGUGGUAUCCUGUCUGAAUAUGGGGGGACCAUCCUCCAAGGCUAAAUACUCCUGACUGACCGAUAGUGAACCAGUACCGUGAGGGAAAGGCGAAAAGAACCCCGGCGAGGGGAGUGAAAAAGAACCUGAAACCGUGUACGUACAAGCAGUGGGAGCACCCUUUGGGGUGUGACUGCGUACCUUUUGUAUAAUGGGUCAGCGACUUAUAUUCUGUAGCAAGGUUAACCGAAUAGGGGAGCCGGAGGGAAACCGAGUCUUAACCGGGCGUUAAGUUGCAGGGUAUAGACCCGAAACCCGGUGAUCUAGCCAUGGGCAGGUUGAAGGUUGGGUAACACUAACUGGAGGACCGAACCGACUAAUGUUGAAAAAUUAGCGGAUGACCUGUGGCUGGGGGUGAAAGGCCAAUCAAACCGGGAGAUAGCUGGUUCUCCCCGAAAGCUAUUUAGGUAGCGCCUCGUGAAUUCAUCUCCGGGGGUAGAGCACUGUUUCGGCUAGGGGGCCAUCCCGGCUUACCAACCCGAUGCAAACUGCGAAUACCGGAGAAUGUUAUCACGGGAGACACACGGCGGGUGCUAACGUCCGUCGUGAAGAGGGAAACAACCCAGACCGCCAGCUAAGGUCCCAAAGUCAUGGUUAAGUGGGAAACGAUGUGGGAAGGCCCAGACAGCCAGGAUGUUGGCUUAGAAGCAGCCAUCAUUUAAAGAAAGCGUAAUAGCUCACUGGUCGAGUCGGCCUGCGCGGAAGAUGUAACGGGGCUAAACCAUGCACCGAAGCUGCGGCAGCGACACUGUGUGUUGUUGGGUAGGGGAGCGUUCUGUAAGCCUGUGAAGGUGUGUCGUGAGGCAUGCUGGAGGUAUCAGAAGUGCGAAUGCUGACAUAAGUAACGAUAAAGCGGGUGAAAAGCCCGCUCGCCGGAAGACCAAGGGUUCCUGUCCAACGUUAAUCGGGGCAGGGUGAGUCGACCCCUAAGGCGAGGCCGAAAGGCGUAGUCGAUGGGAAACGGGUUAAUAUUCCCGUACUUGGUGUUACUGCGAAGGGGGGACGGAGAAGGCUAUGUUGGCCGGGCGACGGUUGUCCCGGUUUAAGCGUGUAGGUGUGUGUUCCAGGUAAAUCCGGUUCACUUUAACACUGAGGCGUGACGACGAGGCACUACGGUGCUGAAGCAACAAAUGCCCUGCUUCCAGGAAAAGCCUCUAAGCAUCAGGUAACAUCAAAUCGUACCCCAAACCGACACAGGUGGUCAGGUAGAGAAUACCAAGGCGCUUGAGAGAACUCGGGUGAAGGAACUAGGCAAAAUGGUGCCGUAACUUCGGGAGAAGGCACGCUGACACGUAGGUGAAGUGAUUUACUCAUGGAGCUGAAGUCAGUCGAAGAUACCAGCUGGCUGCAACUGUUUAUUAAAAACACAGCACUGUGCAAACACGAAAGUGGACGUAUACGGUGUGACGCCUGCCCGGUGCCGGAAGGUUAAUUGAUGGGGUCAGCGCAAGCGAAGCUCCUGAUCGAAGCCCCGGUAAACGGCGGCCGUAACUAUAACGGUCCUAAGGUAGCGAAAUUCCUUGUCGGGUAAGUUCCGACCUGCACGAAUGGCGUAAUGAUGGCCAGGCUGUCUCCACCCGAGACUCAGUGAAAUUGAACUCGCUGUGAAGAUGCAGUGUACCCGCGGCAAGACGGAAAGACCCCGUGAACCUUUACUAUAGCUUGACACUGAACAUUGAGCCUUGAUGUGUAGGAUAGGUGGGAGGCUUUGAAGUGUGGACGCCAGUCUGCAUGGAGCCGACCUUGAAAUACCACCCUUUAAUGUUUGAUGUUCUAACGUGGACCCGUGAUCCGGGUUGCGGACAGUGUCUGGUGGGUAGUUUGACUGGGGCGGUCUCCUCCUAAAGAGUAACGGAGGAGCACGAAGGUUGGCUAAUCCUGGUCGGACAUCAGGAGGUUAGUGCAAUGGCAUAAGCCAGCUUGACUGCGAGCGUGACGGCGCGAGCAGGUGCGAAAGCAGGUCAUAGUGAUCCGGUGGUUCUGAAUGGAAGGGCCAUCGCUCAACGGAUAAAAGGUACUCCGGGGAUAACAGGCUGAUACCGCCCAAGAGUUCAUAUCGACGGCGGUGUUUGGCACCUCGAUGUCGGCUCAUCACAUCCUGGGGCUGAAGUAGGUCCCAAGGGUAUGGCUGUUCGCCAUUUAAAGUGGUACGCGAGCUGGGUUUAGAACGUCGUGAGACAGUUCGGUCCCUAUCUGCCGUGGGCGCUGGAGAACUGAGGGGGGCUGCUCCUAGUACGAGAGGACCGGAGUGGACGCAUCACUGGUGUUCGGGUUGUCAUGCCAAUGGCACUGCCCGGUAGCUAAAUGCGGAAGAGAUAAGUGCUGAAAGCAUCUAAGCACGAAACUUGCCCCGAGAUGAGUUCUCCCUGAGACUUAAAGUCUCCUGAAGGAACGUUGAAGACGACGACGUUGAUAGGCCGGGUGUGUAAGCGCAGCGAUGCGUUGAGCUAACCGGUACUAAUGAACCGUGAGGCUUAACCUUACAACGCCGAAG